GGGGGCGCACUGGUUUCGACGGGGACGUGGAAGCCGGGGUUGCAGGUCGAGGCGCCGCUGGCCUCGUAAAAAGCGGCAACAAAAGUAAUUGCCAACAACGAUUACGAAUACGCCUGCGCUGCUUAAGCAGCAGGGCACCCUGACGGCCUAGGCCGUCACGCCGGAGCAGCCGACGCCUGAUACGCUGCCGAGGUGUCAAAUUCAUCGGGCUGGUUCGCGUGUGCGCCCGCCGGCACGCGGAUAAGAACUUAAGGAGGGCUGCCCGUAUGCUGCCCGUUCAGGGGCGAAGCCUGCGGUAAGCGUAUACCUGAACUAAACCUGUAGAUGCCUUGUGUGGAUCAUUCUCGGACGGGGGUUCGACUCCCCCCGCCUCCACCA
rnacentral:tmRNA from 2 species